rnacentral:rRNA from 1 species
ACUCCUACGGGAGGCAGCAGUGGGGAAUAUUGCACAAUGGGCGAAAGCCUGAUGCAGCAACGCCGCGUGAACGAUGAACGGUCCUUCGGGGUUAGUUAAAGUUUCUUUUCGUUGGAGAAGAAUCCAUGACGGUAUCCAAGGAAUAACGCCCGGACUAACUACGUGCCAGCAGCCGACGGUAAUACGGUAGGGGCAAGCGUUAUCCGGAAUCACUGGGCGUAAAGGGAGUGUAGGCGGUCAAGCAAGUCAGAGGUGAAAGGCAUCGGCUCAACCGAUGUAAGCCUUUGAAACUGUUUGACUUGAGUGCAGGAGAGGUAAGUGGAAUUCCUAGUGUAGCGGUGAAAUGCGUAGAUAUUAGGAGGAACACCAGUGGCGAAGGCGACUUACUGGACUGUAACUGACGCUGAGGCUCGAAAGCGUGGGGAGCGAACAGGAUUAGAUACCCUGGUAGCGACUGA